UGAGCACUCAAGUAUAAAUAAGUCUUACAACUUCUUAACGGAAAACUUAAUAACUUCAACUUAAAUUGCAUACUAACCUAGAAAUUGGGCUACUUAGUAAUUAAAACCUUGUGUGCUUUUGAAAUUCUUAUCAGUUAUGUACUUGAAAUAAGACUUUCAUUUCACAAACCAAAUUUUAUUUUGGGAUUGAAGUUUGUGGGUAACUUAACUGCAAACCCUCACGAGACAACACUCGUCCACUAGGGUAACCUAGGGGUUUAAAGGCUUGUUGCACGUGCUAAGUGCAAUCGUAAUGCUCUACGAAAGUGAAUAUUUAUCUUAGUAUAUUUAUAUAAUAAAUAACACUUUUAUACUCUCAUUUUAUCAUUGUCGCACUGAAUUGCUAGAGACUAGCAAUAAGCUAGUUGGGGGGUGUGAUGAGAGCACAAAAGUG
rnacentral:lncRNA from 1 species